rnacentral:rRNA from 1 species
UCUCAGUUCGGAUUGCAGGCUGCAACUCGCCUGUAUGAAGUCGGAAUUGCUAGUAAUCGUGGAUCAGCAUGCCACGGUGAAUACGUUCCCGGGCCUUGUACACACCGCCCGUCACACCAUGGGAGUUUGUAACGCCCAAAGUCGGUGGCCUAACCUUUAUGGAGGGAGCCGCCUAAGGCGGGACAGAUGACUGGGGUGAAGUCGUAACAAGGUAAC